GACGAACGCUGGCGGCGUGCCUAAUACAUGCCAGUUGAGCGCUGAAGGUUGGUACUUGUACCAACUGGAUGAGCAGCGAACGGGUGAGUAACGCGUGGGGAAUCUGCCUUUGAGCGGGGGACAACAUUUGGAAACGAAUGCUAAUACCGCAUAAAAACUUUAAACACAAGUUUUAAGUUUGAAAGAUGCAAUUGCAUCACCCAAAGAUGAUCCCGCGUUGUAUUAGCUAGUUGGUGAGGUAAAGGCUCACCAAGGCGAUGAUACAUAGCCGACCUGAGAGGGUGAUCGGCCACAUUGGGACUGAGACACGGCCCAAACUCCUACGGGAGGCAGCAGUAGGGAAUCUUCGGCAAUGGACGAAAGUCUGACCGAGCAACGCCGCGUGAGUGAAGAAGGUUUUCGGAUCGUAAAACUCUGUUGGUAGAGAAGAACGUUGGUGAGAGUGGAAAGCUCAUCAAGUGACGGUAACUACCCAGAAAGGGACGGCUAACUACGUG
rnacentral:rRNA from 1 species